UAAGUUUUCCCUCCGUCCGGAAAUACUUGUGGGAGAAAUGGAUGAACCUAGAUGUAUUUUAGUUAUAGAUACAUCCAAUUUUAUCCAUUUCUUCGACAAGUAUUUUGGGACGAAGGGAGUAUAUG
rfam:Triticum aestivum genome assembly, contig: Triticum_aestivum_CS42_TGACv1_scaffold_591983_7BS